rnacentral:rRNA from 1 species
AAUGAACGUUGGCGGCGUGGAUUAGGCAUGCAAGUCGAGCGCGAACCCCGCAAGGGGGGAGAGCGGCAAACGGGGUAGUAACGGGUAGGUGACGUACCCUCGGGUUGGGGAUAGCCACGGGAAACUGUGGGUAAUACCCAAUAAUCUCCUGGAGCUUGAAGGCUUCGGGAGCAAAGGUGUGAUUCAACCGGAGGAGCGGCCUGCUUCGUAUUAGCUAGUUGGUGAGGUAACGGCUCACCAAGGCUUCGAUGCGUAGGGGGUGUGAGAGCAUGACCCCCACCACUGGGACUGAGAUACUACCCAGACACCUACGGGUGGCUGCAGUCGAGAAUCUUCGGCAAUGGGCGCAAGCCUGACCGAGCGACGCCGCGUGUGGGAUGAAGGCCCUUGGGUUGUAAACCACUGUCAGAGGGGAUGAAGUGCCAGAGAGCAAUCUCUCUGGUUUGACAUAGCCUCAGAGGAAGCACGGGCUAAGUUCGUGCCAGCAGCCGCAGUAACAC